UAUACAUCAGUUAUAGUCGAAUCGUACCCCUCAACGGAGUUGUUGUACUGAAUCUCGUGCCAGUAGUAUAGUUUUUCUACACCCCAUUUUAUCGGUUUCCACCCUAAGGAAAGAAAAAUUCCAAAAUUACACCUUUUCCUCUGUAUCGAAUAAUUCACUGGAAUUCUUUGAAUUAAAACCACAACAAAAAUGUGCAAGUGUAUCGCCGGAAGCGUCGUCUGCUGUUGCUGCCAAUGUGCGAUGAGCGUUUUUAUCUCGCUCAUUGUGGUCGGGAUACUGCUGGCCGCAGCCAUCGCAGUUGGAAUCUACUUCGGCGUGAUUGAUGUGCACGACAGCGCCCCCCAAAUUUCGGACUUUGUCCACAACACCGGUGACUCGAUCAAGGAUGCGGUCAAGGACAAGCUCAAUUAAUAAGAACAUCGAUUGACCAAUCAACAAAAACAUUUAAAAAAACAGCUUGCAUAGCUUCCAUCAACAGCCAUCGACUUGCCUUUAGUUGGGCUGUUUUUUUUUAAACUAAAAUAUUAGCUACUCAACAGAUUUUAAGAAAACCAGCAUGGAACAUUAAUCAAAACAUCACAAUACAAUACCUUCAAUACGUGCUUUACCAUAGCAAAUGGCUCAUACAAUGAAAUAAUAUUCCUAAAUGUGGCUUAUGCAAAAUGUGACCUCAAAUUAGCCUCAUACAAACAUACAAUAACCAAGCGACAGCGAAUUAACUCAUGCAUCAACAAAACUACAAACAAUGGACUUAGAUUUAGAGAUCUGACUAAAUGUUUUAUAAGGUUCUGUAAAUAUAUUUAUUUCUCGUAAAUCUGA